UUCAGAGCUGAGUAAAGCACUAGUUAAGUCACUGCAGGUGUGUAGCUUAAUGAUCUGCAGUUGGGUAGCAAGUGUGCACUGAGAGCAGAGAGGGCAUGCUGGGGAAUGUUUCUACCAUGGAGGAGCUGAAGUAAGUGGAUGAAUGUGUGAGGCUGAAGCAGUACUUGACUGAACUGGUGCAUUUUACAACAUCUGAAGCAGCAACAGAACAACUGUAAAAACAUGUAGUGAUGAAACAAGGAAUGUUUGAAUUCUUAAUGAUGAUGAUGACUCAUGAAUUAAACAUCCCUGAGAAGCUUUCACCUCUGUCCCACCAGUGAAAAUCCAGAUAUAUGAUCCAUACCAUGCUGCCUUUCCCCUGUUCACUGAUGGUGUAUAUCCAGUGUGAACACAGUGGCAGAUACUUGGGCAGCUGGGGCUGGUUUCCUUUGAAAGCACAGGUAAAGGGAAAUAUGCAGGAAGAAGACUGAAACUGGGGGCAGGGCCACAGAGCUGCAGAGAGCUGAGAUGUUGCCGUGGCCCUUGGGACAGUCAUGUAUUAAAACAUACGUCCAGCCUCUACUGUAGAAGUUUUGCUGUCAUAGAAAUGUCAGUGAGGAGUGAGAGCCUUUUCCUUGUGUCCAAUAGCAAUAUAGCCCCAGUGCAAAGGCUGUCCAAAAAAUCCCUUUGCUGCCAUAACAUGUUCUGCUUAAGGACUGGAUACAAGCCAUGGGAGCAAAAGAACUUUAUUUUUGUACUUACCUUAGGAGGAAUAGCUGGUAUGGCUGUCGUUUUUAAAUGCAAAAGGCCCAUAGAGAAAGAAUUAGAAACACAUCUCUCGUUUUUGUCCUGGUCUGAUCAUGGCAUGUGGGUGGGUUACAGAUUAAUUAAUGAUUUCAUUUCUUCUAAGACUCAGACUGGCACUCAGAUUAGUUCAGCAUCUUUGCACCAACAUUUAGUGGAGAAGUGGAAUUGUUUCUGUUUGCGUACAGCACAUAAAACUGCUUUGGUACCACAUGAUUGAAAAGUGGCAAGUGUGAUUUCAAUAUAUUAAACAGAUUUUCAGGAGGCUUUGGGAAUUAGCAACCAAUAAAUCUGUAUCAGGAAAACUGUAGGAAGCGGAGUCAAAAGUAGACACAUGAGGCACAUGAAGAAAUAAAGUAUGAUAGUGCAUUAUCAUUGCUUUUCCAGAGGGAUCUCAUCCUGUAGAAAUUUAUUGGAGAUUUCUUUAAGGUAGUUACUAACAUGUGUGAAA